UCCAGGUUCUGAGCUGUCAGCACAGAGCCCUAAAGCCCCAUGCAGGACUCAAACACACAAACCUGAGAUCAUGACCUCAGCCCCCAAGUAAGAAGCUUAACUAACUGAGCCACCUAGGCGCCCCAAGUGCUGCUCUUUUAAUUGAUUAUGUGGUAAAUAGGAGACUGGAAAAAAGGUUGCCAAACCUCCAAGAUACUCCUGGACUGGUCACCUAGGAAGACACACCCAGGUUUGCCCCAGAACUCCUGGAAGACAUCACAGGCUUUGGUAACCUUCUAGUGCUCCAUGACCCACGCUUCUCAAGAAGUUCAAUGGUAAUACGUUAAAAAGAAGAAGAAGAAGAAGAAGAAGAAGAAGAAGAAGAAAAGAAAAAAGAGCAGUUAUCAGACAGGAACUCUCACCACUUCACAGCAACACCUGAUCUGCACCUGUAUCUCUGCUAUCCCUGUGGAAUAAAGGACCUUAUCCUACCUGAGGCCAGGCCCUUCACCUGGAUCCCAUGCCCAUCUUCUGGAGGAGGAGUAGGACUUUGCAAUGAUUCCAAUGAUCACCUAUCCAUUUAUUUCUCCAUCAUUCUGUUAUCUAUGAUACAAGAGGCAGUAAAACGUAAAGCCAUCCCUUAUCCCAUAUCUUUCUGAGACACUGCCACAUUUCGCUUGCUGUAAACAGCAAGUCUUCCCUUGUUCUGUAACUUUUUUUUUUUUUUUUUUGCUAACUUCUCCAGUCCAGCUUCUAUCAGCCUGCCCCCCAAAUGAAAACAGCUGUCAAGGGCACCAGUGAAUCCCUUUGAUGAUGUCCUCUCCUCAACCUACUGUACCUCUCAGAUAGCUCUGGUACACUUAACAAUUGCCUGGUUCUUGAAAAUGUCCCUCCCUCCCUUUCUUCUAAUUUGUACUUUGGCCUAUUUGAAAAUUUACUCUUUGGGUGAUGUUCUCGCAACCCCAGUGGCCACUGUGCUCCUUGUCAGUGUUUAUUGCUCACUCCCUAUUCCACAGGGCUUUUAACAGGGCCCUUCCCAUCUACACUCUCUCUGUGGGUUGUUUCAUCCUUGGUGCCAGCACAGAGCAUGGACACAACGGGACCUCCCACGUUCGUACCUCACGCAUCAACCUGUCCCCUGAGAUCCACAUUUGUCUGUGUCUUUGCUGGAUGACCAGAAGGGAGCAGACACUUAACAUGUCCCAAGCACGCCUCUUCAUGUGACGUGUUCCUUUGGUCUCCACUGCAACCCAGCACCACGUCCUCUGGAUUCGAUCUUCUGAAAACAUCCUGUAUCCAUCCCGUUCUGUGCUCAUCUACUGCUACUGUUUUCGUAUCCAAAUAAACUGCUCAUCUCUUGUCUUCACGGCAGUAACUCUGGCCUACUCCCGUUCCUUGCACAUGCUUCUUCCCUCCUUAGGACAUUGGUGAUCACAGUUGUCUCUGCCUGGAAGAGUCUCUCCCUGGAUCCUUACAUGGUGGGUUCCUUCUAACCUUCUGGUUUCUGCUCCAUUAUUGCCUCCUCAGAGAGGCUCUCCGUGACCACCUUGUGUAAAGUAGGUUGUUCCUGGCCUAGGACCUGGGUUAUUUUCUUCCUUACAGCCCACUAAUUUGCUUAUUCCUUGGUUGGUUGGUUGGUUGGUUGGUUUGUAUUCUCUCACUCCCCAGAUAAGUGCUACGUGACCAGCUUGUACAAGAGCACCACACACCUAUUAAGAGGGGCUCUCAUUAAUGUUAUGGAAUGCCGAAUAAAAGGUCACCUGACA